rnacentral:rRNA from 1 species
CGCGUAGGCGGAUUGGCAAGUCCGGUGUGAAAUCUCACAGCUCAACUGUGAAACUGCAUCGGAAACUGCCAGUCUAGAGUGCGGGAGAGGAGAGUGGAAUUCCCAGUGUAGAGGUGAAAUUCGUAGAUAUUGGGAGGAACACCAGUGGCGAAGGCGGCUCUCUGGACCGCAACUGACGCUGAGGCGCGAAAGCUAGGGGAGCAAAC